AAGGAUUUAUGUAAUUUUAUGGGAAAGACUAUAGGUACACAUAGUGUACAAAAUAAUAUUGUACACAAAAAUGCUAUUUGUGGAAAGGGGCCGCUGAUUUGGGCACACCCAAAAUUUAUAACCAUACACCCCUUUGGCCCCACUGUAAGUUACUUUCCUAAUUUCCUUCUAAUUUGCACUAAGUCUCACGUGUCCAUUGCCAAUGUUUUACUUUUUUUUUUUUUUUAAUUUUAUUUUUUUAUUUGGACUUUUGUGGGUAAAUUACCCAACUUCCAAAAUCAUAAACAUUGAUUUUGCUUUUUACUCCAUCCCCCUUUUUACACUCCAGUACUCCACCAUUAAUUUGAUACCUCAAAAGCUUCAACCUUUUAUGGAAAUUCACCUUUUUAAUAUAUCUCAAUUGUAAUUGCACUUUAUUAUAAUUAGGAAGAUGGAUGGAGAAUUUGAUUUUGAAGGGAUUAAUGAUAAUGAAUUUUGGGAGCUUUAUGGGCUAGAUGAUUUGCAUAAUGUACUAGAGGAGAAUGGCCAUGAAGACUGCAAUUCUUCACAUUCUCAUAUGAAUGGUUCACCAGAAUUUGAUAAUCAUCAACCUCCUCAAACGCCCACUAAUAUGUAUCAACUUUCAUCCCAAAAAUUUUCAAAUAGAGAAAUAUUGUUGGAGACUGUUCGAGGAAUGGCCUACUCACUAGGCUUUGUUACGGUGAUUCAAAAAUCCAAAAAAAAA